UCCCUACGGGAGGCAGCAGUGAGGAAUAUUGGUCAAUGGGCUUACGCCUGAACCAGCCAAGUCGCGUGAGGGAAGACUGCCCUAUGGGUUGUAAACCUCUUUUGUCAGGGAGCAAUUGGCGCUACGUGUAGCGUUAUCGAGAGUACCUGAAGAAAAAGCAUCGGCUAACUCCGUGCCAGCAGCCGCGGUAAUACGGAGGAUGCGAGCGUUAUCCGGAUUUAUUGGGUUUAAAGGGUGCGCAGGCGGACCAUCAAGUCAGCGGUAAAAUCGUGGGGCCCAACCCCAUCCCGCCGUUGAAACUGGCG
rnacentral:rRNA from 1 species